rnacentral:lncRNA from 1 species
UUAUGCAUAAUAUCUCACCACCAAAAACCUUUUUGCAUGAGGUUUCUUAGCAUGAAAUCUAGGGCGUGCAAGGGGAGAGAGAGUCCUAGGGAGAUGGCACUCUAGGGUUUCUUAUUUUGGUUUAAACCAAAUCAAAUUUGGUUUGACCCAAAAAGAGAAUGGAACGUAAUCAAAUUAGGAACCCAAUCUUCUCAAUUAAAUCCCA